rnacentral:sRNA from 1 species
GCAGUGCAACGCAUUCACGGACACUGCAUCAGGAGACGUCAUGAACAAGCUGCACAUGCUGGUAUUGGCUGGGG